AAUUAAAAACGACCUUUAUUAUUAUUAUUAUUUUUUACUCACGGUUUGCUCUGCUCGCAGAUUGAAGAAUCUCAGAGGCUCAUCCUCAUCUCCUAUCCUCGUCGUCGAGUUCCUGCUCAAUACUAACCUCAAAUCUAGUGUGUAAACAGGUGAAUUUUCCCAAUUAAAGAGGACGAAUUUUAUGGUCAAAGAAGAAGAUUUAGUGGUGAACUUAAUUAGAUUGUUGAAAGUUUUGUGCUUUACAUAUUUUGAGCUGAGCUGCGAGUACGAGGACGUCGACUUCGUGUUGAAUUAUAUGUCAACUAUCUUGCUGAUUGUAGUCUUGAGAUUUUGGAUGAUCCUUUGGUGACUGCACUGCUCGAGGUGUUAUAUGGGAUCCAAAUACCAACAAAGUUAAUGUUGCAAAAGAAGUUUGGCAAUACUUUUAUACGAUUAACAAAUUGGAUUACAAGAUGUUCAAGAGGGAAAGACGAGCAAUACCACAAUCUUGGGAGAUAUUUAGUGAGACUACAACUAAUAGAGAUUAGGUAAUGCCUCCACUCAACUUCCAAACACAUCAGAGGAAGGAAGGUAGCUAGAAUAUGAUUUUUUUUUUUUAACAGGGGAGUGCAUGUAUGUGCGGAAAAUGAUGAUGAAGUCGAUGUGGUUUCAAAUACGCGUUAAUGUAACGAAAUUGGUACAUCGGGUGAACGUCGACGCAAGGAACCUAAGAUUAGUAAAAGUGAUAAACUCGAGGCCUAUAUGAUACAGUGGCCAUCUACAAUUAGUUUGAGGAAUGAAGAAACUGAACUUAGAAAACUUGUAAAGAUCCAAUAAAAAUCAAGUAAUCAAUCGGAUAGUGAAGUUAAUGGUCCGGAUCCUUAGUCAAAUGUUAUUUGCUUGGUCAUCUUAAACAAUAUGGAAGGGGUGUCCAAUGAGGUUUAUAUGAAAGUAAUAAAGGCUUUUAAGAAUCUCGAUUUCAGGAUGUCAUUUGUGAAGACACCAGAAGCAAGGAGAAGACCUAUUUUGGAACAAUUUUGAUGUAACUGAUGUUUUAAUUUCUCUAGUAACGUGUAAUGUUGAAGGUUGAAGUACUGUGUUAUUUUCAAAGUUUGAAGUAUUUUUUUUCCUUUCAUGGUGAUGUCGUACUGUUUUCAUUUACAAAUUUAGUGAUGUUGUUGGUUGGAGAACUGAUGUUAAUUUUUCUUUAGUUUU